rnacentral:rRNA from 1 species
GACGAACGCUGGCGGCGUGCCUAACACAUGCAAGUCGAACGGGGUAAACCUUCGGGUUUACUUAGUGGCGAACGGGUGAGUAACGCGUGAGAAACCUGCCUUUCAGUGGGGGACAACAGUUGGAAACGACUGCUAAUACCGCAUGAUACUUAUAGAGGGCAUCCUCUGUAAGUCAAAGCUUUAUGUGCUGAAAGAUGGUCUCGCGUCUGAUUAGCUAGUUGGUGAGGUAACGGCUCACCAAGGCGACGAUCAGUAGCCGGUCUGAGAGGAUGAACGGCCACAUUGGGACUGAGAUACGGCCCAGACUCCUACGGGAGGCAGCAGUGGGGAAUAUGGGGCAAUGGGGGAAACCCUGACCCAGCAACGCCGCGUGAAGGAAGAAGGCCUUCGGGUUGUAAACUUCUUUUACCAGGGACGAACAAAUGACGGUACCUGGAGAAAAAGCAACGGCUAACUACGUGCCAGCAGCCGCGGUAACAC